rnacentral:rRNA from 2 species
AAAUUGAAGAGUUUGAUCAUGGCUCAGAUUGAACGCUGGCGGCAGGCCUAACACAUGCAAGUCGAACGGUAACAGGAAGCAGCUUGCUGCUUUGCUGACGAGUGGCGGACGGGUGAGUAAUGUCUGGGAAACUGCCUGAUGGAGGGGGAUAACUACUGGAAACGGUGGCUAAUACCGCAUAAUGUCGCAAGACCAAAGAGGGGGACCUUCGGGCCUCUUGCCAUCAGAUGUGCCCAGAUGGGAUUAGCUUGUUGGUGAGGUAACGGCUCACCAAGGCGACGAUCCCUAGCUGGUCUGAGAGGAUGACCAGCCACACUGGAACUGAGACACGGUCCAGACUCCUACGGGAGGCAGCAGUGGGGAAUAUUGCACAAUGGGCGCAAGCCUGAUGCAGCCAUGCCGCGUGUAUGAAGAAGGCCUUCGGGUUGUAAAGUACUUUCAGCGGGGAGGAAGGUGUUGUGGUUAAUAACCGCAGCAAUUGACGUUACCCGCAGAAGAAGCACCGGCUAACUCCGUGCCAGCAGCCGCGGUAAUACGGAGGGUGCAAGCGUUAAUCGGAAUUACUGGGCGUAAAGCGCACGCAGGCGGUCUGUCAAGUCGGAUGUGAAAUCCCCGGGCUCAACCUGGGAACUGCAUUCGAAACUGGCAGGCUUGAGUCUUGUAGAGGGGGGUAGAAUUCCAGGUGUAGCGGUGAAAUGCGUAGAGAUCUGGAGGAAUACCGGUGGCGAAGGCGGCCCCCUGGACAAAGACUGACGCUCAGGUGCGAAAGCGUGGGGAGCAAACAGGAUUAGAUACCCUGGUAGUCCACGCCGUAAACGAUGUCUACUUGGAGGUUGUGCCCUUGAGGCGUGGCUUCCGGAGCUAACGCGUUAAGUAGACCGCCUGGGGAGUACGGCCGCAAGGUUAAAACUCAAAUGAAUUGACGGGGGCCCGCACAAGCGGUGGAGCAUGUGGUUUAAUUCGAUGCAACGCGAAGAACCUUACCUGGUCUUGACAUCCACAGAACUUUCCAGAGAUGGAUUGGUGCCUUCGGGAACUGUGAGACAGGUGCUGCAUGGCUGUCGUCAGCUCGUGUUGUGAAAUGUUGGGUUAAGUCCCGCAACGAGCGCAACCCUUAUCCUUUGUUGCCAGCGGUCCGGCCGGGAACUCAAAGGAGACUGCCAGUGAUAAACUGGAGGAAGGUGGGGAUGACGUCAAGUCAUCAUGGCCCUUACGACCAGGGCUACACACGUGCUACAAUGGCGCAUACAAAGAGAAGCGACCUCGCGAGAGCAAGCGGACCUCAUAAAGUGCGUCGUAGUCCGGAUUGGAGUCUGCAACUCGACUCCAUGAAGUCGGAAUCGCUAGUAAUCGUGGAUCAGAAUGCCACGGUGAAUACGUUCCCGGGCCUUGUACACACCGCCCGUCACACCAUGGGAGUGGGUUGCAAAAGAAGUAGGUAGCUUAACCUUCGGGAGGGCGCUUACCACUUUGUGAUUCAUGACUGGGGUGAAGUCGUAACAAGGUAACCGUAGGGGAACCUGCGGUUGGAUCACCUCCUUA